CAAGGAUUUAUUAUUAAAGAUGAACAUUUAGUGCUGUUUUUUAUAAUAAUUCAUGAGUGCUGUUGAGAAGAGCUGCUGUUGAGUCUGAUAUCAGUGUGUGAGUCUCUUCUCUCUUUCUCUGCUGGAGUUUGUGUUUAUUUGAGUGUGACGGAGGUUUUUGUUCGACGCUUUCACUAGAAUGAAGCACUGUGGUACACUUUUGGUGGAGGAACUAAACUGACCAUCGCUGGUCCCGCAGUGAAGCCCUCCGUGUCUCUGCUGCCUCCCUCUUCUCUGCAGAUCUCUGGAGACUCAGCCGCACUGCUCUGUCUGCUCAGCUCUUACUCUCCACAGGGGGCGCAGGUGAGCUGGACGCUGGACGGGUCAGAGGUCACCGAGGGGGUUCAGACCAGCGCAGAGAGCGAGCGGGACGGACGCUACAGCCGCAGCAGCGUCCUGAGCCUCAGCAAAGCACGCUGGGAAGCCGGCGAGCGCUUCGUCUGCAGAGUAACACAUGACGGAGCUGAUCACGAGACCUCGUUCCUCAAGAGCUCCGAGUGCUGAUGUUUCUCCAGUGAAGAGCAGCAGGAUUCACAGCAGUCUCCUGAUUUACAGCUCAAUACUCAAGCAGUCUUUCAAUGUGCUGCCAUUGCUGUUCAUUCAAUAAAGCUUCUGAACGCCUUA